GCCGGUGUAGUUCAGUGGCUAGAACGAUGGUCUCCAAAAUCAUUGACAGGAGUUCGAGUCUCCUCGCCGGUG
rnacentral:tRNA from 7 species